GCGCGGGUAGUCUAGUGGUAGGACAACGGCCUUCCGAGCCGUUAGCCCGGGUUCGAAUCCCGGCCCGCGCA
rfam:Ferroglobus placidus DSM 10642, complete genome.